CUUGCUUUCAAAUCUCUACAUAAUGCUGCUCCCACCUAUCUAUCUUCCCUUAUACAUAAGUAUGUCCCGUCUAGGCCCUUACGAUCUGCUGAAGACUUACGUCUAUCUUCUGUCCGUACUCCCACCUCUGAUGCUCGCCUUCAAGAUUUCUCGAGGGCUACACCGUUCCUGUGGAACUCGCUUCCCUCCUCCGUUAGAUGCUCACC